rnacentral:snoRNA from 1 species
CCAAAUGACCCUGAGUUGACACAGUAGAGGAUGUAGAAGGCUGAAGAAACUGUUCAUCUGGUGUAUCUACUUCCAUUGCAGUUUCACCCACUUCCAAAUCAGUACUUGAUGG